rnacentral:rRNA from 1 species
AGGAAUAUUGGUCAAUGGGCGCAGGCCUGAACCAGCCAAGUAGCGUGAAGGAUGACUGCCCUAUGGGUUGUAAACUUCUUUUAUAAAGGAAUAAAGUCGGGUAUGGAUACCCGUUUGCAUGUACUUUAUGAAUAAGGAUCGGCUAACUCCGUGCCAGCAGCCGCGGUAAUACGGAGGAUCCGAGCGUUAUCCGGAUUUAUUGGGUUUAAAGGGAGCGUAGAUGGAUGUUUAAGUCAGUUGUGAAAGUUUGCGGCUCAACCGUAAAAUUGCAGUUGAUACUGGAUAUCUUGAGUGCAGUUGAGGCAGGCGGAAUUCGUGGUGUAGCGGUGAAAUGCUUAGAUAUCACGAAGAACUCCGAUUGCGAAGGCAGCCUGCUAAGCUGCAACUGACAUUGAGGCUCGAAAGUGUGGGUAUCAAACAGGAUUAGAUACCCUGGUAGUCCACACGGUAAACGAUGAAUACUCGCUGUUUGCGAUAUACUGCAAGCGGCCAAGCGAAAGCGUUAAGUAUUCCACCUGGGGAGUACGCCGGCAACGGUGAAACUCAAAGGAAUUGACGGGGGCCCGCACAAGCGGAGGAACAUGUGGUUUAAUUCGAUGAUACGCGAGGAACCUUACCCGGGCUUAAAUUGCAGAUGAAUUACGGUGAAAGCCGUAAGCCGCAAGGCAUCUGUGAAGGUGCUGCAUGGUUGUCGUCAGCUCGUGCCGUGAGGUGUCGGCUUAAGUGCCGUAACGAGCGCAACCCUUGUUGUCAGUUACUAACAGGUUUUGCUGAGGACUCUGACAAGACUGCCAUCGUAAGAUGUGAGGAAGGUGGGGAUGACGUCAAAUCAGCACGGCCCUUACGUCCGGGGCUACACACGUGUUACAAUGGGGGGUACAGAGGGCCGCUACCACGCGAGUGGAUGCCAAUCCCCAAAACCUCUCUCAGUUCGGACUGGAGUCUGCAACCCGACUCCACGAAGCUGGAUUCGCUAGUAAUCGCGCAUCAGCCACGGCGCGGUGAAUACGUUCCCG